UACGUAGGGGGCAAGCGUUGUCCGGAUUUAUUGGGCGUAAAGAGCGUGUAGGCGGCUUGGUAGGUCCGCUGUGAAAACUCGAGGCUCAACCUCGAGAUGUCGGCGGAAACCAUCUGGCUAGAGUCCGGAAGAGGAGAGUGGAAUUCCUGGUGUAGCGGUGAAAUGCGCAGAUAUCAGGAAGAACACCUAUGGCGAAGGCAGCUCUCUGAGACGGUACUGACGCUGAGACGCGAAAGCGUGGGGAGCGAACAGG
rnacentral:rRNA from 1 species